rnacentral:rRNA from 1 species
GAUGAACGCUGGCGGCGUGCCUAAUACAUGCAAGUAGAACGCUGAAGGAGGAGCUUGCUUCUCUGGAUGAGUUGCGAACGGGUGAGUAACGCGUAGGUAACCUGCCUGGUAGCGGGGGAUAACUAUUGGAAACGAUAGCUAAUACCGCAUAAGAGUAGAUGUUGCAUGACAUUUGCUUAAAAGGUGCAAUUGCAUCACUACCAGAUGGACCUGCGUUGUAUUAGCUAGUUGGUGAGGUAACGGCUCACCAAGGCGACGAUACAUAGCAGACCUGAGAGGGUGAUCGGCCACACUGGGACUGAGACACGGCCCAGACUCCUACGGGAGGCAGCAGUAGGGAAUCUUCGGCAAUGGACGGAAGUCUGACCGAGCAACGCCGCGUGAGUGAAGAAGGUUGUCGGAUCGUAAAGCUCUGUUGUAAGAGAAGAACGAGUGUGAGAGUGGAAAGUUCACACUGUGACGGUAUCUUACCAGAAAGGGACGGCUAACUACGUG